UUAUGGCCAUAUCAUGUUGAAAUACCUGUUCCCAUACAUUCACAAAAGUUAAGCAAAACUGAGUCUGGUUAGUACCUAGAUGGGUGACUGCUUGGGAAUACCAGGUGCU